rnacentral:rRNA from 1 species
GAUGAACGCUGGCGGCGUGCCUAAUACAUGCAAGUCGAGCGAACAGACGAGGAGCUUGCUCCUCUGACGUUAGCGGCGGACGGGUGAGUAACACGUGGAUAACCUACCUAUAAGACUGGGAUAACUUCGGGAAACCGGAGCUAAUACCGGAUAAUAUAUUGAACCGCAUGGUUCAAUAGUGAAAGACGGUUUUGCUGUCACUUAUAGAUGGAUCCGCGCCGCAUUAGCUAGUUGGUAAGGUAACGGCUUACCAAGGCAACGAUGCGUAGCCGACCUGAGAGGGUGAUCGCCCACCCUGGAGCUUGGCCACGGUCCAGGCUCCUACGGGAGGCAGCAGUAGGGAAUCUUCCGCAAUGGGCGAAAGCCUGACGGAGCAACGCCGCGUGAGUGAUGAAGGUCUUCGGAUCGUAAAACUCUGUUAUUAGGGAAGAACAAAUGUGUAAGUAACUAUGCACGUCUUGACGGUACCUAAUCAGAAAGCCACGGCUAACUACGUG